rnacentral:misc_RNA from 1 species
AAGUCGUAACAAGGUUUCCGUAGGUGAACCUGCGGAAGGAUCAUUAAAAGUGAUUGGUUAUACACUUCAUGUAUCAACUGCAUUUAACCCAUUUCCAGUACCUUGCCUGUUGUUCCAUGGGGCCUGACCAGGUCACCUUGUGAUGUGAAACCCAAGAGAGUCCCCAUGGGAGGUAAUCAUUAAUUCAUGAUCCAAUGUCUUCUGUCUGAACUGUUUAUACAAAUGUUAAAA